AAGAUUAAGAUUAAUUUUUCUAGUAGGCCCAUUUUCUACUAAAAUAUUAUUUGUUUUGUUAUGAAGAUUCUCCCAAUUUUCUGGAUAAUAAAUAUCACAUAUAUUUUUAAUAUUAGUAAGAUACAUUAUUAGUAACAAAGGGUCCCAAAAAAUAUAAAAAUGUUAUUGGCACAUUAUUAGAAACAAAGGGCCAAUUUUUUUUGGGAGGGUGAAUAUAGAAAUACUUGUUUUAUAUGGUGUAUAUAUAACAAAUUGCAUCAAAAAGGCCAAAAUAAUAACAGAUUGCAGCCCAACUUUUUGUUAAUGUUUCGGGCCUGUUGGUAUAUUUUACUAUAUAAAGCCCCAAAAUACCAAUUCUUACUAUAUACACCCCUACUAAUAAAAACUUUUUUAAGGCCCCCUACCGGCAUGGGCCCUAGGCCGUCGCACUCG
rnacentral:lncRNA from 1 species